rnacentral:rRNA from 1 species
CAGUCGAGCGGAACGAGUUAUCUGAACCUUCGGGGAACGAUAACGGCGUCGAGCGGCGGACGGGUGAGUAAUGCCUAGGAAAUUGCCCUGAUGUGGGGGAUAACCAUUGGAAACGAUGGCUAAUACCGCAUGAUGCCUACGGGCCAAAGAGGGGGACCUUCGGGCCUCUCGCGUCAGGAUAUGCCUAGGUGGGAUUAGCUAGUUGGUGAGGUAAGGGCUCACCAAGGCGACGAUCCCUAGCUGGUCUGAGAGGAUGAUCAGCCACACUGGAACUGAGACACGGUCCAGACUCCUACGGGAGGCAGCAGUGGGGAAUAUUGCACAAUGGGCGCAAGCCUGAUGCAGCCAUGCCGCGUGUGUGAAGAAGGCCUUCGGGUUGUAAAGCACUUUCAGUCGUGAGGAAGGUAGUGUAGUUAAUAGCUGCAUUAUUUGACGUUAGCGACAGAAGAAGCACCGGCUAACUCCGUGCCAGCAGCCGCGGUAAUACGGAGGGUGCGAGCGUUAAUCGGAAUUACUGGGCGUAAAGCGCAUGCAGGUGGUUUGUUAAGUCAGAUGUGAAAGCCCGGGGCUCAACCUCGGAAUAGCAUUUGAAACUGGCAGACUAGAGUACUGUAGAGGGGGGUAGAAUUUCAGGUGUAGCGGUGAAAUGCGUAGAGAUCUGAAGGAAUACCGGUGGCGAAGGCGGCCCCCUGGACAGAUACUGACACUCAGAUGCGAAAGCGUGGGGAGCAAACAGGAUUAGAUACCCUGAUAGUCCACGCCGUAAACGAUGUCUACUUGGAGGUUGUGGCCUUGAGCCGUGGCUUUCGGAGCUAACGCGUU